rnacentral:lncRNA from 1 species
AGGGAUUCUGCGGUGGUGGUGAGGGGGCUGAGUUUUGGGGGGUUCCGUGGUGGUGGUUGUCACCGCUAGCCUCGGUGGUGGAGGGUUCUACGGUGGCUCUAGCGAUUGGGUGCGGCGCUGUGGCGAUGGGGGAGAGGGAGAGGGAGAGGAAGAGAGAGAGAUGGCGGAGGCGACGAGGCCGGAGGCGGCGGCGCUUCGCGGCGGGGGCGAAGCAGGAGAUGGCAGAGGCGACGAGGCCGAGGCGGCGGCGCUUCGCCGGCGAUAGCUCGAAGGGAGGGAGAGAGAGAGAGA